UGUAAAUAAAAAUUAGCAAGUAAUUGGUCCUUUAGCUCGAAUGUCUUCAUCAACCACGCAGCAAUUUCUUCUUCAGAUGUUGGGAUUUCAUCAAGGGCUAUGCGCUUUAUAUGCAUAUGAACUUCAGAAGGGUUCACACCAAAAACAUUGUCCAAUAGUGAUGGGCACCGUGGUUUGUAACCAAUGGUAACAUCAUAAACUGCAUCCAGAGAGCCCCUUAGAUCUUCCAAGCAGGCAUAGAAGCCCUU
rnacentral:misc_RNA from 1 species